rnacentral:rRNA from 1 species
AUACCGGCUGCUCGAGUGAUGGCCACUAUUACUGGGUUUAAAGCGUCCGUGGCUUGACUGUUAGGUCUCUUGGGAAAUCUUUUGGCUUAACCAAAAGGCGUCUAAGAGAUACCGGCAUUCUUGGAACUGGGAGAGGUAAGCCGUACUUCGGGGGUAGGAGUGAAAUCUUGUAAUCCUCGAGGGACGACCUAUGGCGAAGGCAGCUUACCAGAACAGCUUCGGCAGUGAGGGACGAAAGCUGGGGGAGCAAACGGGAUUCGAUACCCCGGUAGUCCCAGCCGUAAACAAUGUGCGUUAGGUGUGUCGGUUACCACGCGUAACUGGUGCGCCGAAGAGAAAUCGUGAAACGCACCACCUGGGAAGUACGGUCGCAAGGCUGAAACUUAAAGGAAUUGGCGGGG